rnacentral:rRNA from 1 species
GUGCCAGCCGCCGCGGUAAUACCUGCAGCCCAAGUGGUGGCCGUUAUUAUUGGGCCUAAAGCGUCCGUAGCCGGUUUGGUAGAUGCCUUUGUAAAUCGAACGGCUCAACCGUUCGAAUUGAGGGUAGACCGCCAGACUCGGGAUCGGGAGAGGUGCGAGGUACUCGGGGGGUAGAGGUGAAAUUCUGUAAUCCUCCGGGGACCACCGGUGGCGAAGGCGUCGCACUUGAACGACUCCGACGGUGAGGGACGAAGCCCUGGGGCGCAAACCGGAUUAGAAACCCUCGUAGUCC